GAUGAACGCUGGCGGCGUGCCUAAUACAUGCAAGUCGAACGAAACUUCUUUAUCACCGAGUGCUUGCACUCACCGAUAAAGAGUUGAGUGGCGAACGGGUGAGUAACACGUGGGCAACCUGCCCAAAAGAGGGGGAUAACACUUGGAAACAGGUGCUAAUACCGCAUAACCAUAGUUACCGCAUGGUAACUAUGUAAAAGGUGGCUAUACUACCGCUUUUGGAUGGGCCCGCGGCGCAUUAGCUAGUUGGUAGGGUAAAGGCUUACCAAGGCAAUGAUGCGUAGCCGAAUUGAGAGGUUGAUCGGCCACAUUGGGACUGAGACACGGCCCAAACUCCUACAGGAGGCAGCAGUAGGGAAUCUUCCACAAUGGGCGAAAGCCUGAUGGAGCAACGCCGCGUGGGUGAAGAAGGUCUUCGGAUCGUAAAACCCUGUUGUUAGAGAAGAAAGUGCGUGAGAGUAACUGUUCACGUUUCGACGGUAUCUAACCAGAAAGCCACUGCUAACUACGUG
rnacentral:rRNA from 1 species